rnacentral:rRNA from 1 species
GUCUACUGCCAUACCACCUUGGACACGCCCCAUCUCCUCUGAUCUUGGAAACUAAGCAGACUCAGGCCUGGUAGGUACUUGGAUGGGAAGAGGUGAAAGCUUGACAUGAUAGAUA